rnacentral:rRNA from 1 species
GACGAACGCUGGCGGCGUGCUUAACACAUGCAAGUCGAACGGAGCGAUUUAUUUCGGUAAAUCGCUUAGUGGCAAACGGGUGAGUAACGCGUAGGCAACCUGCCCUCAGGAUGGGGACAACGGCUCGAAAGAGCCGCUAAUACCGAAUGACGUAACUCUUCCACAUGGAAGAGAUACUAAAGAUGGGUCAGACCAUCGCCUAAGGAUGGGCCUGCGUCUGAUUAGCCAGUUGGUGAGGUAACGGCUCACCAAAGCGACGAUCAGUAGCCGGUCUGAGAGGAUGAACGGCCACAAUGGGACUGAGACACGGCCCAUACUCCUACGGGAGGCAGCAGUGGGGAAUCUUCCGCAAUGGGCGAAAGCCUGACGGAGCAACGCCGCGUGAGUGAAGAAGGUCUUCGGAUCGUAAAGCUCUGUUGUCGGGGACGAAAGAGUAGACGAGGUAAUGCGUUUACUAAGACGGUACC